CUCCAGACUCCUACGGGAGGCAGCAGUGGGGGAUAUUGCACAAUGGGGGAAACCCUGAUGCAGCGACGCCGCGUGGGUGAAGAAGCGCCUCGGCGCGUAAAGCCCUGUCAGCAGGGAAGAAAAUGACGGUACCUGAAGAAGAAGCCCCGGCUAACUACGUGCCAGCAGCCGCGGCAAUACGUAGGGGGCAAGCGUUAUCCGGAUUUACUGGGUGUAAAGGGGGCGCAGACGGCGAUGCAGGCCAGGAGUGAAAGCCCGGGGCCCAACCCCGGGACUGCUCUUGGAACUGCGUGGCUGGAGUGCAGGAGGGGCAGGCGGAAUUCCUGGUGUAGCGGUGAAAUGCGUAGAUAUCAGGAGGAACACCGGUGGCGAAGGCGGCCUGCUGGACUGCAACUGACGUCGAGGCCCGAAAGCGUGGGGAGCAAACAGGAUUAGAUACCCGUGUA
rnacentral:rRNA from 1 species